UCCGAGUAGCUGCGGACGCUGCGGAACGUUCGGGAACUAGAGCUGUGGCUGGUGGAGCCGUGUCCCGGGAGAGCCUGAGGAAGGACCUGGGCUCGCCCGAGGCCCCGCCGUGGCCCGCCAGCUCCUCCUUAGCGGACCCAAAGGAAAAUGGAGAGUUGAAGUGUGGCAGCACCUAAGGCCAACCUCAGAAAGACAUGGCCGAGCAUCUGCAUGAGCUGCUGCUGCAGAACCUGGAGGAACUGACAGAGAAGAAGAAAUUCAGGUUUCUCUUGAAGGACCAUCAUCUAUGGAGAGGUCCUCCCAGAUCCCCUGGGAUGAGGUGGUGAAGGCCUGGGACAAGGCCCUCAGCCUCACGGAGAAGAUGGCUCUGAGGAAACCAGGGAGCAAGUCAGGGGAGAGGCCCCUGGGUUUGGAAACAGAAGAAAGUACAGAACACGUGAUAGAGGAGUUCCAGCUCAUGAAGGGCAGGGACUUUCAUUCUGGGGAGUGCAAAAGUUUCCAUCAUGUAUUCAUAAGGCUCUUUCUUCUCCGUGCCUAUCCUCACCAGAAGCAGAAGGAACAUGAGCUCCUGGUCUCUGGUCAGAAACACAGCAGGAUCGUGAAGGAUUAAGGACGUUUGGUAAAGGUGCCAGCUUUAUUUGAUCCUGCUGAAGAGACAGGAGCCAGUCCUGGACUCUGAUGCUGCAGGGGGCUUCUGGGAUUGGGAAGACCACUCUGACCAGGAAGGGGGAUUGGACUGAGCAGAGGGAAUGCUUUACCAGGACAGGCUCCACUAAGUUCUCUCUCUGAGCUGCGGAAAACUGCACCGGCUGAUAAAAAGAAAGAUGCAACUUGCUGAUGUGAUUGCCCUCAUUGGCCUGGCUUCUAGGCCUCAACCCCGACGUCCUGGCCCAGCCUGCGAGAUUCUUGUUCUUCCUAAAUGGGGUUGAUUAACAGAGAUCACACACCCUGUGAGGAGCACACGUAUGAUCUGUUAAGACGGGGCGGAGCGGCGGCCAGUGCCUCUCCUGCUGAGCUGUCUACGGCAGAGGACUCUGCUUCCCAAAACCUCCCACCUCCUCACCGCUCGACUCACUCCCCUCACUAAGCCUGGCCCCUUGGAAGAAAUCCCACCAUCUGGAGAUCCUGGGCUUCUCGAAGGAGGAAAGAGAGAAGUAGUUCUGUAAAUACUUCACAGACAAGGACGAGGCCUGAGAGCCUUGCAAUUGAUAAACGACAACGAGACCUGCCUCAAAGAGCAGAUGGAGAGAGGGUGGGACCCCACAGCCACUGCCCAGACCACCACAAUCCCCUUCAUGCAUUCUCUCUCCAGUUUACUCAGCCAGAUGACCGGGGGCCUGAGGACCUGAGGGAAUCAGGGAACAGAAAAUCCUCUUUGGCAAAGUUAACUUUCAGACACGUGGGCUGAAUGUACCUGUUGUCUCCCAUUUCCUGGGUACAAAUAUGAAUGUGUCUCAGAAAGAUGGUGACUAUGGAGAUUGCUGUAGUUUCAUCCACUAGAAUGUCAGGGGUUUUGCACCUGUUUUUACCCCCUCAGAGAAUAUACAGAAAUAAAAUGAUGCUCAAAUCUCUUCUUUUGGAGGUCUGAAAAAUCUACUUGAAAAUUUUGAAAGACGCAAUCCAAUUUUUUAACUUUGACAGUCAUUUCUUGUUUGACCUCCUAAAUUGAAGGACAGCUAGAGAGUUGAAGGAGAAGUUCUCAUGUAAGAUGUCACAGAAUAUACAGUUGGAAUUACUGCAGUGAGUUGAAGUACAAGGAAAUCGACGUUUUCAUGCAAUAACAACAUUUCCCUGCUUGUUUGAGACCCAAAUGAAGAGUUUGUGAAACAAGCAGUGGAUGUUCCAAUGGACCCAUACAUUAAUUUUUUUUUCCAAAUUAAAUUUCCAGAGUUUUGCCUUCCAUAUUAAGCAUUGUCAUUUUAUGCAGGGAAUAAAUCUAAAUUUACAGUGAG